rnacentral:sRNA from 1 species
GCACAGAUCCAAGCCAUCGCACAACAA